rnacentral:tRNA from 1 species
GGCCUCGUAGCUCAGCCGGUAGAGCGUGUGCUGUUCAAAAGCGAAGGCGGUGUCCAUGCGCGGGUUCGAAUCUCACCGAGGCUA